GCGCGGGCACAGACGAGGCUCCGGCUCGGCCGGAAAGCGUCCGUGGUGCGCCUGCGCUACAGCCUUAGCCCCUGGGCCGAAUUGGACUCCAAGGUAGGAUUCGCGCUAGACCGCAGAAGGCUCUAGAAGCUAAAGGAAUGGGAAACGAAACUGCCGGAUGAGCAUUCUGGGAGAGAAAAGGAGGCUUCCUGACUAACUCUUGAGUUCCUUGUCCCAGCCUCCUGGAGUGAAGAAGAGGAGCCCCCGCGCAGCCAGAGUUCUGGGACAAACGAGUCACAGCUGAAGCCGUUGUGUGAAGGAGCAAAUUCCACCCUGUCUUCCACUAUGAACUGCAUGUAGCGAGUUUACUCCAUAGCAGGGGUUCUCAGUCCCAAGAGCCAUCUGGUGAAAUCUAUCCACCCUUUCUCAGUACGUUUUUAAAUGCAUAGAAUAAAAUGCAUGGCAUUACAAAGGAAA